GAUGAACGCUGGCGGCGUGCCUAAUACAUGCAAGUCGAGCGAACGGACGAGAAGCUUGCUUCUCUGAUGUUAGCGGCGGACGGGUGAGUAACACGUGGAUAACCUACCUAUAAGACUGGGAUAACUUCGGGAAACCGGAGCUAAUACCGGAUAAUAUUUUGAACCGCAUGGUUCAAAAGUGAAAGACGGUCGUGCUGUCACUUAUAGAUGGAUCCGCGCUGCAUUAGCUAGUUGGUAAGGUAACGGCUUACCAAGGCAACGAUGCAUAGCCGACCUGAGAGGGGGAUCGGCGACCCUGGAACUGAGCCACGGUCCAGACUCCUACGGGAGGCAGCAGUAGGGAAUCUUCCGCAAUGGGCGAAAGCCUGACGGAGCAACGCCGCGUGAGUGAUGACGGUCUUCGGAUCGUAAAACUCUGUUAUUAGGGAUGAACAUAUGUGUAAGUAACUGUGCACAUCUUGACGGUACCUAAUCAGAAAGCCACGGCUAACUACGUG
rnacentral:rRNA from 1 species